rfam:Deinococcus maricopensis DSM 21211, complete genome.
CUUCACAGACGAGGCAAGGAAACGCGCAGUGCAUCCGGGCACCUGCUGCGCGUCGAGCCAGUGGUGCGACCGACGUCCCCCGCAG